rnacentral:rRNA from 1 species
GACGAACGCUGGCGGCGUGCUUAACACGUGCAAGUCGAACGGAAAGGCUCUGCUUUUGUGGGGUGCUCGAGUGGCGAACGGGUGAGUAACACGUGAGUAACCUGCCCUUGACUUUGGGAUAACUUCAGGAAACUGGGGCUAAUACCGGAUAGGAGCUCCUGCUGCAUGGUGGGGGUUGGAAAGUUUCGGCGGUUGGGGAUGGACUCGCGGCUUAUCAGCUUGUUGGUGGGGUAGUGGCUUACCAAGGCUUUGACGGGUAGCCGGCCUGAGAGGGUGACCGGCCACAUUGGGACUGAGAUACGGCCCAGACUCCUACGGGAGGCAGCAGUGGGGAAUAUUGCACAAUGGGCGGAAGCCUGAUGCAGCAACGCCGCGUGCGGGAUGACGGCCUUCGGGUUGUAAACCGCUUUCGCCUGUGACGAAGCGUGAGUGACGGUAAUGGGUAAAGAAGCACCGGCUAACUACGUG